rnacentral:rRNA from 1 species
CAAUAGCGUAUAUUAAAGCUGUUGCGGCUAAAAAGCUCGUAGUUGGAUUUCUGUCAAGGACAACUGGUCCGCCCUCCGGGUGAGCACAUAGUUUGGUCUUGGCAUCUUGCUGGAAACUGUUGCUGCGCUUGGUUGUGUGGUGCAGCUUUCAGCACUUUCACUUUGAGGAAAUUGGAGUGUUUCAAGCAGGCACAUGCCUUUGGACACAGUAGCAUGGAAUAAUUAGAUUGGGCUUUUGCUCCAACUUGUUGGUUCCUGGAGCUGAGGUGAGAAUCAAUGGGGAUUGUUGGGGGCAUCCGAAUUUAGCCGUCAGAGGUGAAAUUCUUGGAUCUGCUAAAGACGGACAACUGCGAAAGCGUUUGCCCAGGAUGUUUUCAUUGA